rnacentral:rRNA from 1 species
CUAGCGGCAGGCUUAACACAUGCAAGUCGAGGGGCAGCGAGAUGUAGCAAUACAUGUCGGCGACCGGCGCACGGGUGCGUAACGCGUAUGCAACCUACCAUAUACAGGAGGAUAACCAUUCGAAAGAAUGACUAAUACUCCAUAGUAUUAUUUUGAGGCACCUUAGAAUAUUAAAGAAUUUCGGUAUAUGCUGGGCAUGCGUGACAUUAGCUAGUUGGAGAGGUAACGGCUCACCAAGGCUACGAUGUCUAGGGGUUUUGAGAGGAAGAUCCCCCACACUGGUACUGAGACACGGACCAGACUCCUACGGGAGGCAGCAGUGAGGAAUAUUGGUCAAUGGACGGAAGUCUGAACCAGCCAUGCCGCGUGAAAAGGAAGACUGCCCUAUGGGUUGUAAACUUCUUUUAUACGGGGAUAAACCUAUCUUUGCGAAGAUAGCUGAAGGUACCGUAUGAAUAAGCAUCGGCUAACUCCGUGCCAGCCGCAGC